GUGGUUAUCUUCCAGAUCGCAAAUUAGUUAUUUGGUCUGUAGAGGGCAGUCUUGUCCCACUAAACAUACCUAUCCAGGAAAGAGUUAACUUUUCCUGGUGGCUAUUUUGACAUCAUUUUGGCCUAUCUAGAUAGUGGCUAUAACUUACGUAUCCUUCAAAGAUCAAAGGGGUUCUUAAAUUUUGUCCAGACUAUGUGUCUGCAAAUCUGCU